rnacentral:lncRNA from 1 species
CUUUGGGAUGGUUCUCCUGGUUCCUCUCCUUUUUGGGGCCACAAACAGAAAAGCUGCCUAAACAGAAACACCAUUGAAGAAAAAAGAGAUUGCAGUCUUCUCUGUUUCUGCCAUGUUGAAGCUUGGAUACAUUGCUUUUGUGUCUUCUGUAGAAGAAAUCAUUUGAUUUGUUUAUUUCUUUUCUCUGCAAUAUGUGAAAAGUAAAUGUUGGUGGUGUCUAGUUUAUUUUAAAAAAAAUAGUGCAUUCCUCAAUGCAGUUGGAAGGGCUAAGAUUUAAAUAACAUUGAAAAUUAUAACUGAAAUAAAGCAGAAUUCCUGACUUUUCUAUUGUUCAGUAAGUUCUAUUGAUUUCCUCUGUGAUAUCUUUGGCAGGCAGAGUCUCCCUUCAUUAUUCUAAAUUUGG